rnacentral:rRNA from 1 species
GACAGAGGAUGCAAGCGUUAUCCGGAAUGAUUGGGCGUAAAGCGUCUGUAGGUGGCGUUUUUAAGUCUGCCGUCAAAUCCCAGGGCUUAACCCUGGACAGGCGGUGGAACUACCAAGCUGGAGUACGGUAGGGGCAGAGGGAAUUUCCGGUGGAGCGGUGAGAUGCGUAGAGAUCGGAAAGAACACCAACGGCGAAAGCAACUCUGCUGGGCCGACACUGACACUGAGAGACGAAAGCUAGGGGAGCGAAUGGGAUAGAAACCCCAGUA